UUUAUACUCCCUCCGUUCGGAAUUACUUGUCUCGAAAAUGGAUGUAUCUAGAACUAAAAUAUGUCUAGAUACAUCCAUUUCUGCGACAAGUAAUUCCGAACGGAGGAAGUAGAUC
rnacentral:pre_miRNA from 1 species